rnacentral:rRNA from 1 species
CACGUAGGCACCGAGCGUUGUCCGGAUUUAUUGGGCGUAAAGAGCUCGUAGGCGGUUUGUCGCGUCUGCUGUGAAAGACCGGGGCUCAACUCCGGUUCUGCAGUGGGUACGGGCAGACUAGAGUGGCAGUAGGGGAGACUGGAAUUCCUGGUGUAGCGGUGAAAUGCGCAGAUAUCAGGAGGAACACCGAUGGCGAAGGCAGGUCUCUGGGCAUUAACUGACGCUGAGGAGCGAAAGCAUGGGGAGCGAACAGG